rnacentral:lncRNA from 1 species
GCCCCGCGCCCCCUUACCCGUGGCGACCGCUACGCUGGCCACGCUCCAGCGAAAUGAGGUAGGCGGCAAGUUUGGCGUCGCUCCAGCCGCUGCGGCGUCUCAGGUCCACCCAGGGGCCGUGCGCCUCGCCCAGGACUGCGACCCCACAUUCCUGCUGCCGUGGGUAGUGGACGAAGAUGCGCUGGAUAACGUUGCGGGGCCGGAAGACCUCCUUGGGGAAAACAUCCAGCAGCAGCUGGGCUAGUGCCUGGUACAUGGUAACUGCCCAACACCGACUAACGGAGUCGGAAUAAGCAAGUUUCUACAAAACAGAGAGAAAUCUGAAUAGCCAGGUCGCGUGUGUGUAUGCGUGUGGGCUGGCACGAUUCCGGGUCUCUGAGAGGUCUCAUUGGAAGGUUCCAAUGCCUGCGUCACGGACAAGAUGUGUGGCCCAAGUCCGCGGUCCCAUCUGUGAAACGGAACGCCUGCAGCAAGAGGUGCCCAGCAACCUUUCCAGGCACGUUCCCAAGCCUUCACCCCAAAAGGUCACAGUGUCCCGACCCUGAGGCCGAGUUGAAGGUCAUCCUCCCCGGCUCUACCAGGCCUGGAAGUGGACGGCCCGAAUCCCAGACAGUCCCAUAGACCUCCCACGCGCGACCCACCUACUCACGUGGCCAGCCGCAGACCCGAGCCGGCUCCGUGGGACCGCUGGGCGCUGUCAUGUUGAGCUAUGGAGCUUCCGGUUACGAGUCGAAGGUGACAGCAAAUCAGAAGAGCCUGUGACGAUAGGUCCCGCCCUCAAGAAGAGAUCCACCAAUAGGAAGGGGGAAGACGCUGGUUUCUCCUCAGGAGCAGGCCCUGCGGGUCACCGAGCUCCAGAAGCCUGGAGACUUUGGGUACCAGCGCGGAGGCGCUGGAGCGGGUGCCCCGGCGUCCAUCCAGUCCAACUUUCUCCGCGGUGUGGUAAAUUAUUAUUAUUAUUGUUACGGACCGGAAGCACCACAUCCGGUUCGGAGCCCAGGGCGGCUUGCGUGCUAAGCAAGCACUCUACCGCUGUCAACUAAGCCGCAGCCCCGAGUCCCGGGAUGCAUUCUUUUUACUAAAGAGGUUUUUUAGUUUGGCUGGUUGAGUUGUUUGAGUCAGGGUCUUGCAGUGGUACUCAGACUGUUCUCAAAACCCUGGAUUCCAGAGAUCCUCGGGGCUCAGCCUCCCGAAUAGCUGGAACUUCAGCUGGGCAACACUGCCAACAGCUUUAACAGAAUGUCAAGCUGUGUUUAUUUUUAUUGUGUGUUACGUGUGUAAGUCUAUGUGAGCAUGUCCGUGUGGAAGUCAGAGGGCAGCUUAGGGGGAAUGUUCUUUCCAUGUGGGUACUGGGGAUGAAACGUGGGUCAUCAGGCUUGGCUGCGAGCACUUUUAACGCCCUUUAAUAAAAAUGUUUGAAG